AGGGGUGAGAAAUUGAUGAAAUAGAGAGACAACCAAGAGGAGCGGCAAUUUUACCCCAUCUAGAAGGAGAGGCAAUGUGUUUGAGAUCCCCGGACGUCCAUAGCAAAGGCAUGAUUUCUCUCUAUUAGAAGCAGAGCCAGCAAAACCAUAUUUACAUUGUUUCAUAAUCUUAUGAGUUAGUGCUCAGAUAAAUAUAAACAUAAAAACAUGUUACAAUAUUUUUACAUCAUCUAGCAAAACAUACUCC
rnacentral:lncRNA from 1 species